GGAGAUGGGAUCAGCCUGCGUGCCACGCGCACUGUGAGCAGCAGGCAGGGCCAAACCACCUUUUCUGCCCGCACAUGGUGCGCAUGUGUGUUCUCCUCUCUCCCCACCCCCGCCAUGGAGGCGGUGUGGCAUGUGUGGCGUGGCAUGGCAUCCACAGUGAGGACAAGAGAAGAGCUCCGUUCCCUCAGGACCCCACUGGGUGCCGCUGGCAGCUUCCAGAUGACCUGGGCCCCUGUCCUGGGGAAGAAACAGCUCCCGUCCCUGGUGCUGACUGCUGAGGAGGGAGCUUCCUUCUGUGCGGGCUUCUCCACAGCGCGACUGCUCCAGCAUUUUUCCUUCAAGGUUCAUCCAUGUUGUUCCAAAUGAGAAGGACAUGAUUUGCAUGUGGCCGAGGAGUAUUGUGUUGUGCGGAUAUCCCACAGUUUCCUCAUCCCUUCACCUGUGGAUGGUCAGGUUCAACCAUGUGGCUCCCGAUGACAUGAUUUCAGUAUCUGUGUCUGGCUGAAGAGUGUUCCAUUGUGAAUGGACACUAUGGUUUCUGUAUCCCAUCAUCUGUGGAUGGAUAGGGCACCCUCAUCCAGCAUCGGACGGAGCACCUGCUGCACAGCAACAUGACCAGCGGUGACAUCCUUCUGUGCUACAUCACGGAAAUCUUUGGGGCCUUACUUCAGGAGGAGAGCCUGCUGCUAAGGCAGAUGACUUCUCGUGUUGCAAAGCGGCAGAGAUGCGCUUUUGAUGAUGGCCAGCCAGUUCCCCUCAGUGUGGAUGAUCAAGGGCUGAGCGUAUCAGGGCUCAUGGCGACUGCUGCAGCAUCAACCCGAAGACCGGGGGCGUCAUCAUGCUCGGCUGGAGUGACGGCACGCUCAACCCCGCGGUUCGGCAGCCUGGAAACCUGUAACAUAGUGGACUCCUUUGAGGAGGUGGAGGACAGCCUGUAUGUCCCCCAGUAUAACAAGUACGGGGAAGAGAGGGUGAUCGUCUUCCUGAAGACAGCCUCUGGGCACGCCUUCCAGCCUGACUUGGUGAAGAGGAUCUGUGACGCCAUCCGCGUGGGCUUGUCUGUGCGGCAUGUGCCCAGCCUCAUCCUGGAAACCAAGGGCAUCGCGCAGGUGGAAGGUGGCGUUAUUCGUGCCCACGAGCUGCACAUGGACCCCUGCAUGAAGCGUAGUGGGGCACAGAGCAGGCGAGCCAUUUCCAUCUCACAGCGGGAGGGCCGGCGACACCACACGAAGUGACAUGCAGGCCCUCCUCGGAAGCCGGCGCUUAGAUCCCUAAUUAGUUCACACGUCGACUGAAUUUUUCAGUACACGCUCAGUGGCAAUAAAGUGGAAGUUGCCGUCAAACAGAUCAUCGCUCGAAAAGCCAUGGAGCAACGAGGUGCUUUCUCGAACCCCGAGGCCCUGCAUCUGUACUGGGACAUCCCUGAGCUGAAUGGCUUCUGAGUCGGACUGGCUGGCACAGGGAGGAUGGAAACCUUGAAUGGCCUGGCGCAGGAGUCCCUGGCUUGCAGUGUUUCUCUCGCCCUUGAUGGGAGCUUCAGGUUCUUGCCAAAGUAUGUAUCACAUAAUUGCUUUCAUGUUCAGACACGGCAAGAGUGGGUUGUAAAUGACUGCGACGCCGAUGUCACAAUUCUGUUAGGCCUGGUUGACCUUGCAAAUUGAAUUCAGGGAGGGCAGUGCUUCUAUCUGGCUGCUAGAUUUAUUGUUCCCAGUCUGGGGAGAGGCCUGGGGAGGCGUGGUAUGGGAUUUCUGUGCCUAGGCAGCCACUCCAGCUUGUCCUGUGCUGCCUCCCUCCUUUCCAUCUUGGUGUCUUCCUCAGCUCUCGAAACAGAAGGCAGCAGCCCAUGAUUGAUGGGCUCCGGCCCGCUGGGGUGUUAUUAACCACUCUGUCAAGGUGACAAUGUCAUUUUUAAUGUUCCAUCUUCAGACUUGAGGCUUAUUCUUAGGUUGAGAGUUAGCCAACCUUGACAGAGAUAGAACCCCUAAAAGUUUAAGACGUGGUUCUUGACCCUGGCUGCUGGGGAGCUUGCAACAAUACCGGUUUCCAUGAGGGUACCUUCUGGGAUGCAGGAAAUGUUAGAUGUCUUUAUCCACGUGGUGGUUACUUGAGUUCAUAUAUGUGUAGCAAAAACUUGGGCUUUGGUGAGGAUAUGGAGAAACUGAACCCUGGUGCCUUACUGGUGGGAAUGUAAAUUGGGGCAGCUGCUGUGGAAACACACUGGUGGCUCCUCAAAAAGUUAAACAUGUAAUUACCCUGUGAGCCAGGAAUUGCACUCCUAGGUAUAUACCCAAAAGAACUGAAAGCAAGGACAGAAGCAGAUGCUUGUAAGCUAAUGUUUGUAGCAGCGUUAUUCACAACCACCAAAAGGUGGAAACAACACAAGCAUUUGCUGAUGAAUGGUUACUGUUCUGUCCCUACAAUAGAAUGUUAUUCAGCCACGAAAAGGAAUGAAGUUCUGACACACACUGCAAUGUGUAUGAACCUUGAACCCAUUAUCGUGACAGACACUGGUCACAAAAUGACAAAUACUGUAUGAUUCCACUUACAUGAAAUACCCAGAAUAGUCACAUUCACAGGGACAGAAAGUAGACCAGAGCUUAUUCAGGGAAGGGGAGAGAGAAGGAAUGGGGAGUGAAUAUUUAAUGGGUACAUAGUUUUAGUUUGGAAUGAUGAAAAGUUUCUAGAAAUGGAUGGUGGUGACUUUUGCAUAACACUGUGAAUGUACUUAAUGCCACUGAACUGUACACUUAAAAAUGGGUGGAGUGGCAAGUUUUACGUUAUGUAUAUUUUACCAUAAUAAAGAUAUUUGAGAUGUACAGUUAAAA